rnacentral:rRNA from 1 species
GACGAACGCUGGCGGCGUGCUUAACACAUGCAAGUCGAACGGAAAGGCCCUGCUUUUGUGGGGUGCUCGAGUGGCGAACGGGUGAGUAACACGUGAGUAACCUGCCCUUGACUUUGGGAUAACUUCAGGAAACUGGGGCUAAUACCGGAUAGGAGCUCCUGCUGCAUGGUGGGGGUUGGAAUGUUUCGGCGGUUGGGGAUGGACUCGCGGCUUAUCAGCUUGUUGGUGGGGUAGUGGCUUACCAAGGCUUUGACGGGUAGCCGGCCUGAGAGGGUGACCGGCCACAUUGGGACUGAGAUACGGCCCAGACUCCUACGGGAGGCAGCAGUGGGGAAUAUUGCACAAUGGGCGGAAGCCUAAUGCAGCAACGCCGCGUGCGGGAUGACGGCCUUCGGGUUGUAAACCGAUUUCGCCUGUGACGAAGCGUGAGUGACGGUAAUGGGUAAAGAAGCACCGGCUAACUACGUG